GCGAUCAUACCAGCACUAAUGCACCGGAUCCCAUCAGAACUCCGCAGUUAAACAUGCUUGGGCGAGAGUAGUACUAGGAUGGGUGACCUCCUGGGAAGUCCUCGUGUUGCACCCC
rnacentral:rRNA from 1 species